GUUAAACGCAUCAAACUUCUAUUUCUCUCUCCCUCUCUCUCUCUCGAAUCCUCUCGGCGAUUUGUUUGGCGAUUUGAUCGAUCGAUGCUCUUCUUCUUCCGACCGGUUGGAUAUGUUGCUUCUCGUUGAAUCUGUGUCUCGGUGGGUCACCUAGACGGCGAUGGAGUUUUGCAGCGGUGAUUCGGCUCUAAUCGAAAGGUAAAUCUUCCUCUAGUCUUCCUUCAAUGCAUGUGAUUGACUGUUGUUCAAGUUGUGUUCUGAUUGCAAUAUCUCUGUUUUUUGUUUUGUUUGUUCGGUUCGAUUUGGUGUUCCGGUGGCGACGGAGCUCUCCUCGACGGCCCCGACCUCUCUGCGAUUGGGAAGAAGCUGUCUGUCGGUGGCGAGGGAUCUCUUUCACGGUGGCUCUCCUCUAAUCGAAGGAAGAUGAAGUCUCGUCAAACCAGAGGAGUGCAAAGCAAAUCACAAUACAGAACUUUCAGUGACAGGCAAGGUAAAGAUUUACAAAUACAAAGAGAUUCGUCAGGCUACAAAUGAUUUCGAUGCCCUGAAUAAAAUUGGAGGAGGGUUUGGCUUUGUGUACAAGGGCCGUCUUAAAGAUGGAAAGAUUGCAGCUAUCAAAGUCCUUUCCACUGAGUCAAGACAAGGCGUGAAAGAGUUCUUGACCGAGAUCAAUGUCAUAUCAGAAAUACAGCACGAGAAUUUGGUUAAGUUAUAUGGAUGCUGCUGACAUGAGUCAUGUUCGGUGGCAUAAGCCGGGCGAAUCCAAAGUCAGAGAUCUUGGGGGAUAAGUCUCUGUCAAGUAGAAUGUUGCUCGCUUUGAUAUCUCUAUGAAUGAUAUGCAGACGUUGUUGAUUCAGUUGAUUCAGUUGUAUUGAAUGAGUCUUAACCGGGAUGUUAUCAUAUUUUUUCCCUUUUGUAUUAUGUUUUAUUGAAUAAAAAAAAAAAAAUUAUAAAAAAAGUUUAA